GGUGGCUCAGUGGUAGAGUGCUUGCCUUGCAUGCAUGAGGCCCUGGGUUCGAUUCCUCGCACCA
rfam:Dipodomys ordii contig_8179, whole genome shotgun sequence.